rnacentral:tRNA from 1 species
GGGCUGUUCGUUCAGCGGGAGGACGACGCGCUUGCACCGCGUAGACCGGAGUUCGAUUCUCCGACGGUCCACCA